UUUUCGAGCGAGAGAGAUAGAGACCGAGACCGAGAAAGGGAGAAGAGAAACACAUACAAAGAGUGUUUGAUCGAGAGAUUUAUGGAAUGCCAAAGUAAUUGAGAUUGUGUAUUACGCGAGAAGGGAGUCACAGAUGCAUAAGAAAUUGAAGCCUUAAUUCUGCCACCGAGAAGAAAAAAGACACUUUCUCGCUUCUUGUCCUCACCUGUGCUCUUGUGGAUGCACUUGGCUGGCUCAGGGAAGCAUGUCAUAGUCGCACUUGGUAGAAAAGAAGCAACAAAAGUAUUGAAAAGUGUAUUCCAAGGAGAUGUUAAGAAACAAGAAAGCAACUUUCGCUCUCGUUUUUCAAACCCUUAAACGUACCAUGAGGGUGCGAGGUUAUGUUGUGAGAGGAGAUGCUGGAUACUAGAUUACAGAAGGCCAAAGGGUGCAACUGUUCUUAUUUUAUGCUUGUUCGAUGCUUGUUGUGCAUUUUUUUUUUAAUAAUCAUAGUUUUAUCAUUUUGAUACCGAUUUUGUCCAUGACUUAAAGAAAUAUUACUCUCUUUUUGAAAUACAAGUGAAUGUGCCACU